rnacentral:rRNA from 1 species
GAUGAACGCUGGCGGCGUGCCUAAUACAUGCAAGUCGAGCGAACAGACGAGGAGCUUGCUCCUCUGACGUUAGCGGCGGACGGGUGAGUAACACGUGGAUAACCUACCUAUAAGACUGGGAUAACUUCGGGAAACCGGAGCUAAUACCGGAUAAUAUAUUGAACCGCAUGGUUCAAUAGUGAAAGACGGUUUUGCUGUCACUUAUAGAUGUAUCCGCGCCGCAUUAGCUAGUUGGUAAGGUAACGGCUUACCAAGGCGACGGUGCGUAGCCGACCUGAGAGGGUGGCCGGCCACAGGGGGACUGAGACCCGGUUCAGACUCCGACGGGGCGCAGCAGCCGGCGAUCUGCCGCAGUGGGGGAUAUCCUACCGGAGCAGCGCGGCGGGUGUGGUGAAGCUGUGCGGGUCAUAAAGCUCUUUUAUUAGUAAAGAACAAACGGGUAAGAAACUACGCAUGUCUUGACGGUACUUAAUCAAAAAGCCCCGGCUAACUACGUG